AUUGAACGCUGGCGGCAUGCCUUACACAUGCAAGUCGAACGGUAACGGGCCUUCGGGUGCAGACGAGUGGCGAACGGGUGAGUAAUACAUCGGAACGUGCCCGAUCGUGGGGGAUAACGAGGCGAAAGCUUUGCUAAUACCGCAUACGAUCUACGGAUGAAAGCAGGGGACCGCAAGGCCUUGCGCGGACGGAGCGGCCGAUGGCAGAUUAGGUAGUUGGUGGGAUAAAAGCUUACCAAGCCGACGAUCUGUAGCUGGUCUGAGAGGAUGAUCAGCCACACUGGGACUGAGACACGGCCCAGACUCCUACGGGAGGCAGCAGUGGGGAAUUUUGGACAAUGGGCGCAAGCCUGAUCCAGCCAUGCCGCGUGCAGGAUGAAGGCCUUCGGGUUGUAAACUGCUUUUGUACGGAACGAAAAGCCUUCUUUUAAUACAGGAGGGUCAUGACGGUACCGUAAGAAUAAGCACCGGCUAACUACGUG
rnacentral:rRNA from 1 species